rnacentral:rRNA from 1 species
UACAGAGGCCCCAAGCGUUAUCCGGAAUCAUUGGGCGUAAAGGGUGCGUAGGUGGCGUUAUUAGUCGUUUGUUAAAGACCGAGGCUCAACCUCGGGAGUGCGAACGAAACGGUAACGCUUGAGUAGGGAAGGAGGUAAGCGGAACGUCAUGGUGUAGGGGUAGAAAUCCGUUGAUAUCAGUGGGAGCACCAAAGCGAAGGCAGCUUACGUGGUCCCAAACUGACAUUGAAGCACGAAAGCGUGGGUAGCGAAGUGGGU